GGAAAUCAUGUGGUCCUCCAAGGGAACUACCCAAUGGCAGAGCUGUUGUUAAAACAGAUUAUUUGUUUGGUGCAAAAGUAAACCCCUUCUGCAAGGAUGGGUAUGAAUAUUAGUUGGGCAGUCGUUUAUCGACUGCACGUUAAAGGGAGACGAAGUUGAGUGGAGCGAACUUCCAGUUUGCCAAUUGAAAAGUGCACGUGUUGGAAAUGGGUCAAAGGCAAAACUAAAUUCAGGUAACUUGUAUUCCUUAAAGUUCUGGUUUGUAGGAUCUCGUUUCUACAACAUCGCACUCAAUAUUUGUUGUUCCCAGGAUCUAAUUUCUGUAAUAAAGCCACUUGUAUUUGCUCAUGUGGCAGUACUGUACCAUAAUUUCAGGGGAGAACUUGUUUGACCAUCUGCCUCUCAGUCCCAAGCACUAGCCAGCAUUGCACUAGCUUCCCUCUGCUAGUACAAUAGCUUUGUGAGCAGCAUGUUCUGAGAUGAAUGUUGGAUGAAGAGUUGAGGAUGGGGUUAACUGCUCCUAGCCACGGUCUGUAAGAUGUUGAGAGCAUAAGGAAAUGGGUGCAGACCUGUGAAAGCUCUGGAAGGGUACAGACAGGAGAGGCAAGAACAGAGAAGGACUUCACUGAUGGACACGUCCUGGACUGGAGACAGUUGGAUCCAGUGAAGCCAAUAGAGCUAGGAUAGUUUCACAUAUGCUGAGAACAUGUCCCUGCUGUGGAAAGCAUUAGAGAAGAAUGGCAUACGAGACAUUUCAACGUGCCUUCCGCAUUUUAUAGGCAGUCAAAAAUAAUGAGUUGUCAUAGGAAGAUUCCUUUACACAAAGAUCCUGAAUUCCCUCUUGAAGAUGUAUCAUGCCUGUAAGUGUUGUACGGGUA